GAACACUCCCNAUCUGUUCAUUACUGAAUGGGGGAAGUGGCCCAAGGGGCAUUAAUGCGUGGGUAACCUACCUCGGGGACCGGGAUAUCCUUCCUAUCGGACUGGUAAUACCGUGCGAUGCGGCCGAGGGGCAUCCUUUGGCCGUGAGAUGAAUUUCGCCUCGGGAGGGGCUCACGUGAUAUAAGCUUGUUGGUGGGGUAACGGCCUACCAAGGCAAAUAUGUCUAUCGGGUGUGAGAGCACGAUCCGCGCCACUGGCUCUGAGACACUGGCCAGACUCCUACGGGAGGCUGCAUUCGAUGAUCUUCGGCAAUGGGCUCAAUCCUGACCGAGCGACGCCGCGUGUGCGAUGAAGGCCUUCGGGUUGUAAAGCACUGUCGGGGGGGAGAAAAUCGCAAUGUUGAUCUAUCCCCGGAGGAAGCACGGGCUAAGUUCGUGCCAGCAGCCGCGGUAAG
rnacentral:rRNA from 1 species